GAGGCGGAGCAGAGCGGCGCGCUGAGGCGUGCAUUGGGCCAGCUGCGCGAGGAGGCGGGCGUUCCCGAAGCAGACGAGCCAAUGGGAGCGCCGGGCUGACAGCGGACUGGGGGCGCAGGCACUCGGGGUCCUAGAGAUAAGAUCUUCCGCGGUUUUUCAAACUUCUGCCUCCUGGACUGCUGAAAGAGCUUUUCUUGGACAGGAAUGCCGGCUGCCUCGUUCACAGGGGAUCCCCCUGUGUACCGGACAUAUCCUUAGUACUUGAAUGGAUUUAAAGAUUCUCCUAAAGGAAAAGGAUCGACCAAGGUCUCGUAACUACAAAGACAUUGCCCGCUAGGAAUUAGAACACAGAUCUGUUAGUUACCAAAGCCCACGACAAUCAUUGUCCAUAUUGCCUCGUUCAAACAUCGCCUUCAGCGGUUCUUAUUCUCUGCUUUACGAGGGGUGUGAAACAAGCAUGAGAUGGGGUCCCUUCCUGUAAGCAUACCGUCACUGAACCCAGAGAAACGCGCACACGUAGGAGUGGCGAUUUCAUGUCAGCGAUUUUGUCCUUAGCCGUGGCUUCUGGAUAAAGUAGUGAGAAUUCUGAGAAAGGCAUUCUAUUUUCUUGAUUUCUGCUCUAGGCCCAGCGUGGAGUCCAACACAGAGCUUGAACUCACAACCCUGAGAUCAACACCUGAACGGAGAUCAAGAGUUGGAUGCUUAACUGACUGAGCCACACAGAUCCCCCCCUAUAAGAAAUAUUCUUAAACGUGCUUCAUCUUGGUAAGUAUCUCUAAUUACUUAUUUAAGAAAAUAUCCUAGAGGUUGAAUUUGUGUGUCAAAGAAUAAAUAAAAUUUGAAGGCUUCAUACACAUUACCAAAUUCCCACCAGAAAAAUUACAAUUUAUACUGUAAUCUUCAAUGCAUGAAAGUGUCCCCUUCCUUGAUUUCUUCCUAACAGUGAAUGUUUUUUUUUUUUUCUAACAAUGAAUGUUGACACAAUUUUCAUUAAUUUGGUAGAUUAAAAUUCUGUCUCCCAUUAACUUACUUUUGUAUAUUAAUGUGGCUAACCAUUUUGUUCAUAUACUUACUAAGACUGAGCUUUGGACACUGCAAGCUAGCUACUUCUGGCUUUUGUUUGAUGCAUAAAGUCCUCUUUUUUCUUGAUCAGUUUGACUUAGCUUCUCUGUCAUGAAACUUAAACUGUACUAACCAACACAAUGCUCUUAGCCAUACUGAGUUUUAAAACAUAUGUAGUGGGGAUCCCUGGGUGGCACAGUGGUUUGGUGCCUGCCUUUGGCCCAGGGCGUGAUCCUGGAGACCCGGGAUCGAGUCCCACAUCGGGCUCCCGGUGCAUGGAGCCUG